UACGUAGGGUGCAAGCGUUAAUCGGAAUUACUGGGCGUAAAGGGUGCGCAGGCGGUUAUAUAAGACAGAUGUGAAAUCCCCGGGCUCAACCUGGGACUGCGUUUGUGACUGUAUGACUAGAGUACGGUAGAGAGGGGUGGAAUUCCUGGUGUAGCAGUGAAAUGCGUAGAUAUCAGGAGGAACAUCGAUGGCGAAGGCAGCCCCUUGGACCUGUACUGACGCUCAUGCACGAAAGCGUGGGGAUCAAACAGG
rnacentral:rRNA from 1 species